rnacentral:rRNA from 1 species
GACGAACGCUGGCGGCGUGCUUAACACAUGCAAGUCGAACGGUGAAAGGGAGCUUGCUCCCUGGAUCAGUGGCGAACGGGUGAGUAACACGUGGGCAACCUGCCCCAGACUUCGGGAUAACGCUUCGAAAGAGGUUCUAAUACCGGAUACGAACUCCUUGGGCGUCCUUGGAGUUGGAAAGUUUUUCGGUCUGGGAUGGGCCCGCUGCCUAUCAGCUUGUUGGUGAGGUAACGGCUCACCAAGGCGACGACGGGUAGCGGGCCUGAGAGGGCGACCGGCCACACUGGGACUGAGACACGGCCCAGACUCCUACGGGAGGCAGCAGUGGGGAAUAUUGCGCAAUGGGCGAAAGCCUGACGCAGCAACGCCGCGUGAGGGAUGACGGCCUUCGGGUUGUAAACCUCUUUCAGCAGGGAAGAAGCGAAAGUGACGGUACCUGCAGAAGAAGCACCGGCUAACUACGUGCCAGCAGCCGCCGUAA